rnacentral:rRNA from 1 species
GUGUAAGCUACUAAGGGCGUACGGUGGAUGCCUUGGCGCCAAAAGCCGAAGAAGGACGCGGUACACUGCGAUAAGCCUCGGGGAGUCGUGUGCAGACGUUAUAUCCGGGGAUGUCCGAAUGGGGAAACCCGCCUAGCCGAUCGCUAGGCACCGGCGACUGAAUACAUAGGUCGCACGGAGGGAACCAGGGGAACUGAAACAUCUUAGUACCCUGAGGAAAAGAGAUUAUUCCCUGAGUAGUGGCGAGCGAAAGGGGAGCAGCCCAAACCGAUGGGGCUUCGGCUCAAUCGGGGUUGUAAGGCCCGCAUAUGGAAGUUACCAAUCUGGUCUCUAGUUGAACGGCUCUGGAAAGGCCGACCACAGAGGGUGAAAGUCCCGUAAAUAAAAGAGAUCCAGACUUCCGCGGUGUCCUUGAGUACCACGGGGCACGCUAAUCCUGUGGGAAUCCGGGAAGUCCACUUCCCAAGGCUAAAUACUUUUGGCGACCGAUAGUGAACAAGUACCAUGAGGGAAAGGUGAAAAGCACGGCCGCGAGCCGAGUGAAAUAGAACCUGAAACCGUAUGCUUACAAACAGUCAGAGGGCAAUGUCUGACCUUCGGGUCUGACAGGCCUGAUGGCGUGCCUUUCGGAGAAUGAUCCGGCGAGUUACUCAGUGUCGCAAGGUUAAGGGAGUCACACCCGAAGCCGUAGCGAAAGCGAGUCUGAAUAGGGCGUUUAGUGGCGCUGAGUAGACCCGAAACCAGGUGAUCUACCCAUGAGCAGGGUGAAGCGAGGUUAAACCCUCGUGGAGGCCCGAACUUACUAAUGUUGCAAAAUUAGGAGAUGACUUGUGGGUAGGGGUGAUAUGCCAAACGAACUUGGAUAUAGCUGGUUCUCCUCGAAAUAGCUUUAGGGCUAGCCUCACGCGUUCAGUUACGGAGGUAGAGCACUGGAUUGGCUAGGGGGCUUACUGCUUACCAAACCAAACCAAACUCCGAAUGCCGUAACUCUAGAGCGUGGGAGUCGGACUGCGAAUGCUGAGAUCCGUAGUCGAGAGGGAAACAACCCAGACCGCCGGCUAAGGUCCCUAACUUCAAGCUAAGUGGGAAACGAUGUGGGAUUACUCGGACAGCCAGGAGGUUGGCUUAGAAGCAGCCACCCUUUAAAGAGUGCGUAACAGCUCACUGGUCAAGUGAUCCUGCGCGGAAAAUGUAACGGGGCUCAAGCUUGAGACCGAAGCCACGGAAUUCCUAGCAAUAGGGAUUGGUAGAGGAGCGUUCUGCACAGCGUCGAAGGCCGAUCGUAAAGGACGACUGGAGCGUGCAGAAGUGAGAAUGCCGGAAUGAGUAGCGUAAAACACGUGAGAACCGUGUUCACCGUAAGUCUAAGGUUUCCGACGCAAGGUCAAUCCGCGUUGGGUUAGUCGGGCCUAAGCCGAGGCUGGCAAGCGUAGGCGAUGGACAACAGGUCAACAUUCCUGUACCACCGGUGAUGAGCGAUGAGGGGACGCAGUAGGGUAGGCCAGCCUCCGAUUGGUUGUGGAGGUUCCAAGCCUGUAGGCGUUGAGGUGCGUAGGCAAGUCCGCGCGCUGAGCCGAGGGGUUAUGGCGGUGCCUUGAGCCGUAAGUGGUUGAGCCCUGCUGUCAAGAAAAGCCUCUAAGCGUUGAUUCAUUGGUGCCCGUACCGCAAACCGACACUGGUAGACGGGUAGAGUAUACCAAGGUGACCGGGAGAACUCAUGCUAAGGAAUUAGGCAACAUGACCUCGUAACUUCGGGAUAAGAGGUGCUCUCUGCUGUGAGGAAACUCCAUGAAGCAGCGGAGAGUCGCAGUGAAAUGGCUCUAGCGACUGGUUAACAAAACCACAGGUCUCUGCUAAGCCGCAAGGCGACGUAUAGGGGCUGACACCUGCCCAGUGCCGGAAGGUUAAAAGGAGAGGUUCGGCGUAAGCCAAAGCCUUGAAUUGAAGCCCCGGUGAACGGCGGCCGUAACUAUAACGGUCCUAAGGUAGCGAAAUUCCUUGUCGGGUAAGUUCCGACCCGCACGAAAGGUGUAACGACUGGAGCACUGUCUCGGCAUGAGACCCGGCGAAAUUGAAAUACGUGUAAAGAUGCGCGUUACCCGCAGCAGGACAAAAAGACCCCGUGGAGCUUUACUGUAUCUUGGCAUUGCGUUAGGGCUUGGUCUGUGUAGAAUAGGUGGGAGGCUUUGAAGCUGGGGCGCUAGCCUCGGUGGAGCCACAAUGUGAAAUACCACCCUGAUUAAGUUUUGACCCUAACCCCGUACCGUCAUCCGGUCGGGGGACCGUGCCAGGUGGGCAGUUUGACUGGGGCGGUCGCCUCCUAAAAGGUAGCGGAGGCGCCCAAAGGUUCCCUCAGGCUGAAUGGAAACCAGCCAUAGAGUGCAAAGGCAUAAGGGAGCUUGACUGUAAGGCAAACACGCCGAGCAGAUGCGAAAGCAGGGCUUAGUGAUCCCACGGUACUGAGUGGAAGGGCCGUGGCUUACCGGACAAAAGCUACCCCGGGGAUAACAGGCUGGUGAAGUCCAAGAGUCCAUAUCGACGACUUCGCUCGGCACCUCGAUGUCGGCUCGUCGCAUCCUGGGGCUGUAUAAGGUCCCAAGGGUUGGGCUGUUCGCCCAUUAAAGCGGCACGUGAGCUGGGUUCAGACCGUCGUGAGACAGGUCGGUCUCUAUCCGCUGUGGGCGUAGGGGAUUUGAGGGGAGCUGCUCUUAGUACGAGAGGACCGGAGUGGACAGACCUCUGGUGUGCCAGUUGUUCCGCCAGGAGCAUCGCUGGGUAGCCACGUCUGGCAGAGAUAACCGCUGAAUGCAUCUAAGUGGGAAACUCGCCCCAAGAUUAGAUCCCCCUUCUAUAUGAGAAAGACCGCCGGAAGACCACCGGUUUGAUAGGCGACAGGUGUAAGCACAGCAAUGUGUUAAGCUUAGUCGAUACUAAUGGUCGAGGGCUUACGUGA